CGUAUAAAUAGCUGGAUCACAAGAAGAAAGGUAUAACUUUCAACUGUGAGCUUCAAGAGUCUUGUUCAACCACAGUAAAGAUGAACUUCGCAUCAGCCUUCAUCGUGGCACUUGCUUCCUUUAUGGCAUUCGUCGAUUUGACGAUUGCUGACCCUCAACAUAAGCACCAUAAAGGAUGUGGUCAUAAGGGAGGAUAAGCUUGUGAUAACGUUCUUAAUCAUAAACAGAAAUAAAAAUCUAUGAAAAAUAACAAA